rnacentral:rRNA from 1 species
ACGGCUCAGUAACACGUAGCUAACCUACCCUUUGGACAGAGACACCCCCGGGAAACUGGGGUUAAUCCCUGAUAGGUGUGGAGGCCUGGAAUGGUUCCACGCCCAAAAGCAUAACAACCAUGUUUGUUAUGUGCCAGAGGAUGGGGCUGCGGCCGAUCAGGCCGUUGGCGAGGUAACGGCUCACCAAACCUUUGACCGGUACGGGCCAUGAGAGUGGUAGCCCGGAGAUGGACACUGAGAUAGGGGUCCAGGCCCUACGGGGCGCAGCAGGCGCGAAAACUCCACACUGUACGGAAGUACGAUGGGGUUACCUCGAGUGUAGUCUGUAAAAGAUUGCUUUUCCAUAGAGUAAUAUCCUGUGGGAAUAAGAGGGGGGCAAGACUGGUGUCAGCCGCCGCGGUAACACCAGCCCCUCGAGUGGUAGGGACUUUUAUUUGGCCUAAAGCGUUCGUAGCUGUCUGUAACCGUUGCCCGUUAAAUCCAGCGUCUCAAGCGUUGGACUGCGGGCAGUACCUUACAGAUUGAGGGUGGGAUAGGUAAGCGGUAUUUCUGGGGUAGGGGCGAAAUCCUUUGAUCCCAGGAGGACCACCAGUGGCGAAGGCUGCUUACUAGAGCACGCCUGACGGUCAGGAACGAAAGCUGGGGUAGCGAACCGGAUUAGAUACCCGGGUAGUCCCAGCUGUAAACGAUGCGCGCUAGGUGUUGGGUCGGCCAUGCGCCGCCCCAGUGCCGCAGGGAAGCCGUUAAGCGCGCCGCCUGGGGAGUACGGCCGCAAGGCUGAAACUUAAAGGAAUUGGCGGGGGAGCAC